rnacentral:tRNA from 1 species
GCCGAAGUAGCUCAGCUGGUAGAGCAACUGAUUUGUAAUCAGUAGGUCGCGGGUUCGACUCCCAUCUUCGGCU